rnacentral:rRNA from 1 species
AUUGAACGCUGGCGGCAUGCCUUACACAUGCAAGUCGAACGGCAGCACGGGAGCAAUCCUGGUGGCGAGUGGCGAACGGGUGAGUAAAGUAUCGGAACGUGCCCAGUCGUGGGGGAUAACGUAGCGAAAGUUACGCUAAUACCGCAUACGAUCUAUGGAUGAAAGCGGGGGAUCGCAAGACCUCGCGCGAUUGGAGCGGCCGAUAUCAGAUUAGGUAGUUGGUGGGGUAAAGGCACACCAAGCCGACGAUCUGUAGCUGGUCUGAGAGGACGACAAGCCACACUGGGACGGAGAACCGGCCCGGACUCAUACGGGAUGCAGCAGUGGGGAAUUUGUGACAAUGGGCGAAAGCCUGAUCCAGCCAUGCCGCGUGCAGGAUGAAGGCCUUCGGGUUGUAAACUGCUUUUGUACGGAACGAAAAGGUUUGGCCUAAUAAGCUGAGCUCAUGACGGUACCGUAAGAAUAAGCACCGGCUAACUACGUGCCAGCCGCCGCCGUAA